GGGCAAGCGUUAUCCGGAUUUACUGGGUGUAAAGGGAGCGUAGACGGCACAGCAAGUCUGAAGUGAAAUCCCCGGGCUCAACCCGGGAACUGCUUUGGAAACUGUUGGGCUGGAGUGCUGGAGAGGCAAGCGGAAUUCCUAGUGUAGCGGUGAAAUGCGUAGAUAUUAGGAGGAACACCAGUGGCGAAGGCGGCUUGCUGGACAGUAACUGACGUUGAGGCUCGAAAGCGUGGGGAGC
rnacentral:rRNA from 1 species